UGAACGCUGGCGGUAGGCCUAGCACAUGCAAGUCGAACGGCAGCACAGUAAGAGCUUGCUCUUACGGGUGGCGAGUGGCGGACGGGUGAGGAAUACAUCGGAAUCUACUUUUUCGUGGGGGAUAACGUAGGGAAACUUACGCUAAUACCGCAUACGACCUACGGGUGAAAGCAGGGGAUCUUCGGACCUUGCGCGAUUGAAUGAGCCGAUGUCGGAUUAGCUAGUUGGCGGGGUAAAGGCCCACCAAGGCGACGAUCCGUAGCUGGUCUGAGAGGAUGAUCAGCCACACUGGAACUGAGACACGGUCCAGACUCCUACGGGAGGCAGCAGUGGGGAAUAUUGGACAAUGGGCGCAAGCCUGAUCCAGCCAUACCGCGUGGGUGAAGAAGGCCUUCGGGUUGUAAAGCCCUUUUGUUGGGAAAGAAAAGCAGCAGGUUAAUACCCCGCUGUUCUGACGGUACCCAAAGAAUAAGCACCGGCUAACUUCGUG
rnacentral:rRNA from 1 species